rnacentral:rRNA from 1 species
AGAGUUUGAUUCUGGCUCAGAACGAACGCUGGCGGCGUGGAUAAGACAUGCAAGUCGAACGAGAGAAUUGCUAGCUUGCUAAUAAUUCUCUAGUGGCGCACGGGUGAGUAACACGUGAGUAACCUGCCCCCGAGAGCGGGAUAGCCCUGGGAAACUGGGAUUAAUACCGCAUAGUAUCGAAAGAUUAAAGCAGCAAUGCGCUUGGGGAUGGGCUCGCGGCCUAUUAGUUAGUUGGUGAGGUAACGGCUCACCAAGGCGAUGACGGGUAGCCGGUCUGAGAGGAUGUCCGGCCACACUGGAACUGAGACACGGUCCAGACACCUACGGGUGGCAGCAGUCGAGAAUCAUUCACAAUGGGGGAAACCCUGAUGGUGCGACGCCGCGUGGGGGAAUGAAGGUCUUCGGAUUGUAAACCCCUGUCAUGUGGGAGCAAAUUAAAAAGAUAGUACCACAAGAGGAAGAGACGGCUAACUCUGUGCCAGCAGCCGCGGUAAUACAGAGGUCUCAAGCGUUGUUCGGAAUCACUGGGCGUAAAGCGUGCGUAGGCUGUUUCGUAAGUCGUGUGUGAAAGGCGCGGGCUCAACCCGCGGACGGCACAUGAUACUGCGAGACUAGAGUAAUGGAGGGGGAACCGGAAUUCUCGGUGUAGCAGUGAAAUGCGUAGAUAUCGAGAGGAACACUCGUGGCGAAGGCGGGUUCCUGGACAUUAACUGACGCUGAGGCACGAAGGCCAGGGGAGCGAAAGGGAUUAGAUACCCCUGUAGUCCUGGCAGUAAACGGUGCACGCUUGGUGUGCGGGGAAUCGACCCCCUGCGUGCCGGAGCUAACGCGUUAAGCGUGCCGCCUGGGGAGUACGGUCGCAAGAUUAAAACUCAAAGAAAUUGACGGGGACCCGCACAAGCGGUGGAGUAUGUGGUUUAAUUCGACGCAACGCGA